AACACUUACAAGACAGAUGACAUGUCUCGUGCUGUAACGAGAGCUAACCAAAUAAAAAAAUAAAAAUAAUUGUCUAUACUUGCUGUGCUACUCUGAAAAAACAACAACAGAAAACGGACUUAUAAAUGACUUAAACAAUACAUGUAUAUAAUAACAACAGCACUACACGUUUAAAUGUUUCCGCCCACUGGAGAAUGAAUCGAUUAGUUUACGCGUCCGAUUGACAAUUUAAGGGAGAAAGGCGACUCAUCUACUUACUUUUGGGCAGACGUGCUCUUUAUUCGCCACAGUCGGAGACUUCUCGAAGUUUCAAGUCGACUUUUAGGGACUCUCACCUAGCGCAGGCAACAACGGGACACAGCAGGAGAAUGUGAAGGACCCCUAGCGCGCACUCGCACCGACUCGCACACACAUUUUCAUGGCAGAGCGAGUAGCACCAAACAGGCAGAAUGCUCGUUGAUUUUGGGAGGAUGGUGUGUAUUCCCAUCACUACGACGCUCUUGUGUUAGUCUUGCUCUAUCCAUAAGAAGCUCCAACAGACUUGAGUCGUCUCUGUCUCUCCGUUUGCAGUAACCGGCGGUGAGGAUCAGCAGUAAGAGUCCGAUGAAGACAAGCGUGCGCAGUGCGCUCAUGCUGAAAGGUGGGCACAGAGAACCCCCCUGCCUGUGUCUAGUCUUAGAGCCCUGCAAACACAUCAGUGUAUGACCACACAUCAAAACGCAACAUCACAGCAUAAAGGCUCCACACGAGAAUCUUACUUGACAGUGCUUUUACGCACGGAGCGUCUUGCGUAAAAGCGCGUUGGAAGUAAUUGUUCGUCUGGGGAAAGUAAUAAAUUACCUGUUUUCAGCAA